AGGAGGGGGAGGGGGAGGGGAGCAGAGCGCGAUAGAGCUAUUAGCUCGGCUGCAGCAGAUAUCAUUCAACUAGUAGAGGGGAGACGCUUCCACCGUCAGCGGCACAGGAGGGACAGGGAGCCCCGGCAGCACGCACGCAAGAGAGGCACAGACUCCAAAGCCCCUAUCACCGCACAGGAAUGCUGAAAGCACUCGGAGACGGACAGACGCGGAUCGAAAGAGUGGGAAUAUCGGGUGGUCCCCUCACGGAGCAGACGGGCGGAUCCAGACAGACGGGUCGCAGCAGAACCAGCCGGAUCCUCACCUCCAACUGAACCCUGCCCAAGGACCACACCCGCCUCCUCAUCUCAGGUAGAGCUGGGGCCCUGUGAGUGUGCUGUGCUGCGUCUGUGAAGACCCCCCAUGGGCCGUACCACUCGCUAAGGUUCUGGAGGGGGAGCGGAACUGCUUAAUGAGGUAAGCCGCCAUUACGGAUCAAUAACUGCUAUCUCUGG
ensembl:lncRNA